UACGUAGGGGGCAAGCGUUGUCCGGAUUUAUUGGGCGUAAAGAGCGUGUAGGCGGCCAGACAGGUCCGUUGUGAAAACUCGAGGCUCAACCUCGAGAUGUCGAUGGAAACCGUCUGGCUAGAGUCCGGAAGAGGAGUGUGGAAUUCCUGGUGUAGCGGUGAAAUGCGUAGAUAUCAUUUGGAACGCCAAUGGUGAAAACAGCUCGCUGGGGGUUUGCUGACGCUGAGACACGAAAGCCAGGGGAGCAAACGGG
rnacentral:rRNA from 1 species